ACCCGCGCGGAGACUGUGUGUGCGGCCCGGCGUGCGCUUCCUACCGUGUGUCACCGAGGCGACCGCAGGCUGUCAGUUCACUUGCUGUCGCCCGCAUGGAGGAGAUGUCAACCCAGGAGGAGAGUGCUUCUGAACAGAUUUAAUGAACUGAAUGAAAAUGGGUGACUUUGGAACUCGCCAAAAGAGCCACAUUCUCCAAGACUUUCUCCAAGUAGAAACAACUUAAAUGUCAAACAACAGGAGAAUUUACAGAACAAUUAACAUGACAGAAUAUAACUUGGUCAUUGAAUAGUUAUAAAGACUAUUAAAAUAUAGGGAAAUUAAAAAUCAGAGUAUGAAAAUGAAAUUACAACAUAAUUUUGAAAAACCAGAAGGAAUAACUUCAAAAUGAAAGUAAUUGUGUUAAGAAUGUAGGAUUAUAGAGUUCUUUUUUAAAGCAUUUGCUUUAAUGUGAUUGUAUUGUUUUUACUUUAGAAGUAAAUAAGAAAAUACCCAGGAUAAUAAAAAAGCUAUCCUGAAUUAGCCAUCUGUGCUCUGCUGAAUGGGAAACUUUAUUAAAUCAUUGAACUUAUGUUACUAUAUUAAUCAAUACACAGCAUUUGAGGAUAGCAAACAAACUUGAGAAAUCCAUUUUUAGAACUGGUUGAAUUAAUUUAUCAGCAAGUUUGAAGACUCCAAGUUGAUGUCCAGUUGGGGGCUGCAGUAGCUCUUAUCCAUGUCAUGUUCCACCUUCAUGCCCAAACUUGAAGUUAGCAUCUUUGAGCAGUCUAGUUUUAGAUAUCAGUGAUUUUAUAGUUCUGACUUUUGAUCUUGUUCUUGGAUGCUAUGUGUCACUUUCAGUGAAGCCACAUUUAUAUAUCCAAUUUCAGAAUUCUGUGAACAUGAACGAGACUUGGGAGAAUUGGAGGUGGCCACUACUGCGUCUGACUUAUGUUCUCCAAUCUCUUGAAUAUUUGGAACUGACGCUAUCAAGUCUAUUCCUGUAAAACUAAGAAAGACCACGUGUGAGGACUUUGCGUAAAUAGGAUCUCUUAGUGGCACUUAGGGUAACAGAGAGAUGGCAUCGAUAGGAUUUCAGUUUUUUACAAUUAUCAAACACAAAGAAAAGACAAAAAAUUUACCUUAAACUUAUGUUUAUGAAUUAUUUUCUAACUUAAGUCAGGAUUCUGUGAUGUGUGGAGGUGACACAGCGACAAGGAGAGAAGGAAUUGGAAGAUGAUUUAAAUAAUAUACAGAAAAUUACCCCCAAAUGUUUUGCUUUCUCAAGCCAGCAGCUCGGGACUACUGAGGCAGGCAUGACAUGAGGCAAUAAAUAAAUGAUUGUCAUUACUAACCUGGAGUUUGGUAAAUGCAAUAUUUUACUCAAUACUUCAAAUUCAGGGAUGUCACUAAUUACUGUUUCCUGAAAGGAAAGAAAAAAUAAACAUUAAAAAUUAUGACAAACUACUAGCACUAUGACCUUAGAACUUAUACCUUAUGUAUGUUUGUGGGUUUUUUUUUUUGGUUAUAAAUGUGAUCCCCUCACCUCACACUCGUUAGAAUGACUAUCAUCAAAAAGACAAAAGUUAAGUGAAGUAAAUCAGGAGAAAGACAAGCAUUGGAUGUGGACUAUAUGUGGACUAUAGAGGAACAAAACAAAGGGUGAGACGAAACCAAAUCAAUAACAAACUGAAGAAAUCUGACUGUGGAAUUGAGGCUGCAAGGGGCAGAGAGACACACUGGGGAGGGGCAUAAUGAACUAUAGUGGAGGACUGUGGGUACCUUAGUGGUGGGGGUGGUGUGGUGACAUGGACCUGAGGUGUGAACCUAUGCCUCUGAAUGACACAGUGUUGUGAACCAAUGUUAUCUGAAGUAAAAAAAAAAAAAAAAUUUAAAUGAGAAUUCUGCCUCCAGACUGCAACAUAGAAAACAAACAAAGGAGAGAGGAGACAAAUGCUGGAAGAAUAGGAAGAAAGGGAGCCCUUAUAUACUAUUGGUGGAAUGUAAAUUGGUGGAAUGUAAAACUACCAUAGUCUAGCAAUCCCAUGUCUAGGUAUAUUCAAAGGAAAGAAAAUCACUGUCCCAAAGAGAUAUCUGUACCCCACAUUCAUUGCAGUAUCAUUUAUAAUAACCGAGACAUGGAAGCAAACUAAGUGUCCACCAAUGGAUGAAUGGAUAAAGAAAUUCUAGUCACACACACAAGCCCCACCCUAUGGCAUACUAUUCAUCCAUAAAAAGAAGAAAAUCCUGCCACCUGUAACAACAUGGAUAGAUCUUAAGGACAUUAUGCUAAGCGAAAUCAGUCAACAAAGACAAAUGCUAUAUGAUCUCACCUUUGUGUAGAAUCAAAAAAGUAAACACAUAAAAACAGAUCAGACUUGUGGUUGCCAAAUGUUAGGGAUGGAUGGUGGGGAAUUAGGUGAAGGUGGUCAAAGGUACAAACUUCCAGCAAUAAGCUAAAUAAGUUCUGUGGCAAUGAGUGUAAAUUAUAUUGUGGUGCUCAUUUUGCAAUGUAUAUAUAUAUAUUACAAAAUCAUUGUGUUGUAACCACCUUAAACUUAUACAAUGUUAUAUGUCAGUUUUACCUAAUAAAACUGGAAAAAUGUAAUCCCUAAUGCCUUGGUAC